rnacentral:rRNA from 1 species
AUUGAACGCUGGCGGCAGGCCUAACACAUGCAAGUCGAGCGGAUGAAGGGAGCUUGCUCCUGGAUUCAGCGGCGGACGGGUGAGUAAUGCCUAGGAAUCUGCCUGGUAGUGGGGGAUAACGUCCGGAAACGGGCGCUAAUACCGCAUACGUCCUGAGGGAGAAAGCGGGGGAUGUUCGGACAUCACGCUAUCAGAUGAGACUAGGUCGGAUUAGCUAGUUGGUGGGGUAAAGGCCUACCAAGGCGACGAUCCGUAACUGGUCUGAGAGGAUGAUCAGUCACACUGGAACUGAGACACGGUCCAGACUCCUACGGGAGGCAGCAGUGGGGAAUAUUGGACAAUGGGCGAAAGCCUGAUCCAGCCAUGCCGCGUGUGUGAAGAAGGUCUUCGGAUUGUAAAGCACUUUAAGUUGGGAGGAAGGGCAGUAAGUUAAUACCUUGCUGUUUUGACGUUACCAACAGAAUAAGCACCGGCUAACUUCGUG